rnacentral:rRNA from 1 species
AAAGAUUAAACCAAGCAUGUCUAAGUAUAAGCAAUCUAUACGGUGAAACUGCGAAUGGCUCAUUAAAUCAGUUAUCGUUUAUUUGAUAGUACCUAACCUACUUGGAUAACCGUGGUAAUUCUAGAGCUAAUACAUGCUAAAAACCUCGACUUCGGAAGGGGUGUAUUUAUUAGAUAAAAAACCAAUGCCCUUCGGGGCUCCUUGGUGAUUCAUAAUAACUCAACGAAUCGCAUGGCCUUGCGCCGGCGAUGGUUCAUUCAAAUUUCUGCCCUAUCAACUUUCGAUGGUAGGAUAGUGGCCUACCAUGGUGUUAACGGGUAACGGGGAAUUAGGGUUCUAUUCCGGAGAGGGAGCCUGAGAAACGGCUACCACAUCCAAGGAAGGCAGCAGGCGCGCAAAUUACCCAAUCCCGACACGGGGAGGUAGUGACAAUAAAUACCGACACCGGGCCCUUUCGGGUCUUGUAAUUGGAACGAGUACAAUUGUAUCCAUAACCAGGUACCCUUUGU